rnacentral:rRNA from 1 species
UACAGAGGUCUCAACCGUUGUUCGGAUUCAUUGGGCGUAAAGGGUGCGUAGGCGGUCGCGCAAGUCGGAUGUGAAAUCUCAGGGCUCAACCCUGAAACUGCAUUCGAUACUGCGUGGCUAGAGUGCUGGAGAGGAGACUGGAAUUUACGGUGUAGCAGUGAAAUGCGUAGAUAUCGUAAGGAAGACCAGUGGCGAAGGCGGCAUCCUGGACCGACAUUGACGCUGAACGGCGAAAGCUAGGGGAGCAAACGGG